UACGGGGGGAGCAAGCGUUGUUCGGAUUUACUGGGCGUAAAGGGCGCGUAGGCGGCCACCGCAAGUCGACUGUGAAAUCUCCGGGCUUAACCCGGAAAGGUCAGCCGAUACUGCGGGGCUAGAGUGCAGAAGGGGCAACUGGAAUUCUCGGUGUAGCGGUGAAAUGCGUAGAUAUCGAGAGGAACACCUGCGGCGAAGGCGGGUUGCUGGGCUGACACGUGACGCUGGAGGCGCGAAAGCUAGGGGAGCGAACGGGAUUGAGAAACCCCGGU
rnacentral:rRNA from 1 species